GAUGAACGCUGGCGGCGUGCCUAAUACAUGCAAGUCGAGCGGACAGACGAGGAGCUUGCUCCUCUGACGUUAGCGGCGGACGGGUGAGUAACACGUGGAUAACCUACCUCUACGACUGGGAUAACUUCGGGAAACCGUAGCUAAUACCGGAUAAUAUAUUUAACCUCAUGGUUCAAUAGUGAAAGACGGUUUUGCUGUCACUUAUAGAUGGAUCCGCGCCGCAUUAGCUAGUUGGUACGGUAACGGCUUACCAAGGCCACGAUGCGUAGCCGACCUGAGAGGGUGAACGACCACACUGAGACUGAGACACGGUCCAGACUCCUACGGGAGGCAGCAGUAGGGAAUCGUCCGCGAUGGGCGAAAGCCUGACGGAGCAGCGCCGCGUGAGUGAUGAAGGGCUUCGGAUCGUAAAACUCUGUUAUUAGUGAAGAACAAAUGUGUAAGUAACGAUGCACGUCUUGACGGUACCUAAUCAGAAAGCCACGGCUAACUACGUG
rnacentral:rRNA from 1 species